AGAUUGAGUGCAUGGUUGCGGCUGAAAUUAUGCAGAGAUAUAAAAAGCUGCAAUUUGAAAGAGCUCAGUUUGCGAUGGCCGAAGUCUGCCGUCCCCUCCUCCUGGACGGGUUCUCAGGUCGCCGUCUGAAUGAGGCUUCACUGCUUCGGGGCUACCCUGGGUCUGGAGAGGGAUGGAACGCAGAACAAACCAGAGGAAGGUGUCAGAAGACUCCUAAUUUACUUUAGCUAAACGCAGGAAAUCUUUUCUGCAUGCGUUUUUUUUUUUUUU